AGAACGCGCAAGCAAUCAAGCCUUGUCCGUGUGUCUCUGCCACUCUUCUACUUACUUCUUUACCGGGAAUCCAUCCGUAUACGUAUAAAACGACGGAGAGAAAGCCCGAGGAAAUUCUGGUCGACUGGAUCGCUGGUAAGAGUUUCUCAGUGGAAGAAAGGGUCCGCUUCCGGAGGCGCGUAAAUAAAACGGGAAAGCGUGAACGCGCGCUUACGCGCGGAUUUCUCGGGAUCUAAUUGCGCUCCUGUGCGCGUCCGAUGGACCAUUGGAGGGGGUAACAGUUUCGGUCGUUGUUUGUCGCGGGCCCCCGGUUGACAGUGAAGAGUAAUCGGGACACUGGGCGAAUCCUAACGGGACAGUGACCGCGGAAAUUGGUCGGGGUAGUUGUCUGGCUACUCGUUUCGUACCUACGAGCUGAGAGGGGGAUUAGAUUUUACGUCGUCGAUCGAUCGACGGGUUUAAACUUGACAGGGAAACUACGGUUUCCUGCCACUGUCAAGGGUGCUUCAACUUUGCUUUUCACCCGCGCUUUGAAUCACUGUCGGCGCUAACGAACGCGCUCGUCUCUUGUUCACUUUGAAAAUAAUCGAAUUAUGGAUCUAUCCUUGUGCAAUAUUUAUUCUAAACGCCGCGUAGGCAUUAGUCGGCGUCUCCGCGUUGCUCGUUGAGCAAUUGCGGUGAAAUCUGACCGCGAACGUUCUGUUACGAACUGUCUCCGUCGUUUUGAAAUUCGACUCUCUGCGCGAGAUACGAUCGAGAAACGUUCAGCGUCGGAAUCGUCCCAGCGGUUGUUUAGCAUUUCUGUUGAAACGACAGCUAUGGAUGCGUUUAAUAUACGUGUACUCGAAAAACCUCAAGUUAUUCAGUCCAAUUUUAACCGAGGUAUUCUAUUUUGUACAGCGUCUACUUACUUUUGCCUCUCACUGUACGGUUUCUUCUUUUCACGUAUCAAUUUAUGCAUAUCCAUGUACUAUGCCCCUUUUUUAUACAGACUUGCAGUUGCGACACAAUAUCUUGAUUGGCGGUACUUGAUAUUUCCUACACUAGAUAAGGAGAAAAUGAUUCAUAUGUAACAAUGUUUCUCGAAUUUUCCUAGACGUUAAUCAUUUGUGUUACUGUGAAAAGAUAAAAUUUAAUAAAUGUACGUGUAUCCAUUAAAUUAAUAAAUUUAACGUACUCACUGUAA